UUUAUAUUCUUUUUAGGUAUAAUGAUGGACGACUCUGAAAUAAACGAGCUUAUUAUUCUAACUGGGAAAUAUGCCACAAUUUAAAGCUGGAACAGAAUGAUAUAAUAUAUAGCUUCAGAACAAUACUAAGAAAGGAGUUAUUAACCAACUGCGGGGCCUUCCAAAAAUGGUAGAACUUCAUACAUUGAAUUGCUGAUAUACAAAGUGCUAUUAACAAAAGAAG
rnacentral:lncRNA from 1 species